AGAGGGAUGGAAAAGUGGGUUAUCUUAGCUUUUAUCCAAAUGAAGCGAGUUUUAACUUCAACAGAUAACAGAGGGGGAGAAUGGUGGGAGAAAAGAGAAAACAUGGUGGGGGCUUCUUCUUUGCAACCAAGAUUCUUGUCUUCUUUUGUUGGUGAUCGUUUAGUUCAAUAAACUCAACCUCUUUCUCAGCUGUUUCAUUUCAACCCAGGUCGGAAGCAUGUGUCUAUGCAAUUAUCCAUAUCACUUUCUGGCUUAACCAAUCUCUUAUUUAAUUGAAGGAGCAACUUGGAUGACGUUCCAAACAGCAAGCGCAAACGUCUGAGACCUGGGAAGUUAUCUCCUCGUCAACCUGUUCCAGAUCAUAAAAAAAGGCCACCUUAUGUUAAAUCUCGGAUGGCGCCUGGGAUUGCUAGAGGUGCAGAAGUGCAUGAUCUAAAGGGCAUAGAACACAUGAGAGCUUCUGGAAGGCUUGCAGCUCAGGUUCUCAAUUAUGCUGGGACCUUAGUGAAGCCAGGCAUAACAACUGAUGAAAUUGACGAAGCAGUUCACUAAAUGAUUAUUAAUAAUGGAGCAUAUCUGUAGACACUAAUUUUCUUAAAAGAUAGAGCUAGCAAGAGUU